rnacentral:rRNA from 1 species
GAGUUUGAUCCUGGCUCAGAUUGAACGCUGGCGGCAUGCUUUACACAUGCAAGUCGAACGGCAGCACGGGUGCUUGCACCUGGUGGCGAGUGGCGAACGGGUGAGUAAUAUAUCGGAACGUACCCGGAAAUGGGGGAUAACGUAGCGAAAGUUACGCUAAUACCGCAUAUGCCCUGAGGGGGAAAGCGGGGGACUCGUAAGAGCCUCGCGUUUUCGGAGCGGCCGAUAUCGGAUUAGCUAGUAGGUGAGGUAAAGGCUCACCUAGGCUACGAUCCGUAGCUGGUCUGAGAGGACGACCAGCCACACUGGAACUGAGACACGGUCCAGACUCCUACGGGAGGCAGCAGUGGGGAAUUUUGGACAAUGGGCGCAAGCCUGAUCCAGCCAUGCCGCGUGAGUGAAGAAGGCCUUCGGGUUGUAAAGCUCUUUCAGCCGGAAAGAAAACGCACAGAUUAAUACCUUGUGUGGAUGACGGUACCGGAAGAAGAAGCACCGGCUAACUACGUGCCAGCAGCCGCGGUAAUACGUAGGGUGCGAGCGUUAAUCGGAAUUACUGGGCGUAAAGCGUGCGCAGGCGGUUUUGUAAGACAGAUGUGAAAUCCCCGGGCUUAACCUGGGAACUGCAUUUGUGACUGCAAGGCUAGAGUACGGCAGAGGGGGGUAGAAUUCCACGUGUAGCAGUGAAAUGCGUAGAUAUGUGGAGGAAUACCGAUGGCGAAGGCAGCCCCCUGGGUCGAUACUGACGCUCAUGCACGAAAGCGUGGGGAGCAAACAGGAUUAGAUACCCUGGUAGUCCACGCCCUAAACGAUGUCAACUAGGUGUUGGGGGAGGAGACUUCCUUAGUACCGUAGCUAACGCGUGAAGUUGACCGCCUGGGGAGUACGGUCGCAAGAUUAAAACUCAAAGGAAUUGACGGGGACCCGCACAAGCGGUGGAUUAUGUGGAUUAAUUCGAUGCAACGCGAAAAACCUUACCUACCCU